rnacentral:rRNA from 1 species
GUAGGUGGCAAGCGUUGUCCGGAAUUAUUGGGCGUAAAGCGCGCGCAGGCGGUUCUUUAAGUCUGAUGUGAAAGCCCACGGCUCAACCGUGGAGGGUCAUUGGAAACUGGAGAACUUGAGUACAGAAGAGGAAAGCGGAAUUCCACGUGUAGCAGUGAAAUGCGUAGAGAUGUGGAGGAACACCAGUGGCGAAGGCGGCUUUCUGGUCUGUAACUGACGCUGAGGCGCGAAAGCGUGGGGAGCAAACAGGAUUAGAUACCCUGGUAGUCCACGCCGUAAACGAUGAGUGCUAAGUGUUAGGGGGGUUUUCCGCCCCCCUUAGUGCUGCAGCUAACGCAUUAAGCACUCCGCCUGGGAGUACGGCCGCAAGGCUG